rnacentral:rRNA from 1 species
AUUGAACGCUGGCGGCAGGCCUAACACAUGCAAGUCGAACGGUAACAGGAAGAAGCUUGCUUCUUUGCUGACGAGUGGCGGACGGGUGAGUAAUGUCUGGGAAACUUCCUGAUGGAGGGGGAUAACUACUGGAAACGGUAGCUAAUACCGCAUAACGUCGCAAGACCAAAGAGGGGGACCUUCGGGCCUCUUGCCCUCGGAUGUGCCCAGAUGGGAUUAGCUAGUAGGUGGGGUAACGGCUCACCUAGGCGACGAUCCCUAGCUGGUCUGAGAGGAUGACCAGCCACACUGGAACUGAGACACGGUCCAGACUCCUACGGGAGGCAGCAGUGGGGAAUAUUGCACAAUGGGCGCAAGCCUGAUGCAGCCAUGCCGCGUGUAUGAAGAAGGCCUUCGGGUUGUAAAGUACUUUCAGCGGGGAGGAAGGGAGUAAAGUUAAUACCCUUGCUCAUUGACGUUACCCGCAGAAGAAGCACCGGCUAACUCCGUG